rnacentral:rRNA from 1 species
GACGAACGCUGGCGGCGUGCUUAACACAUGCAAGUCGAACGGAAAGGCCCUGCUUUUGUGGGGUGCUCGAGUGGCGAACGGGUGAGUAACACGUGAGUAACCUGCCCUUGACUUUGGGAUAACUUCAGGAAACUGGGGCUAAUACCGGAUAGGAGCUCCUGCUGCAUGGUGGGGGUUGGAAAGUUUCGGCGGUUGGGGAUGGACUCGCGGCUUAUCAGCUUGUUGGUGGGGUAGUGGCUUACCAAGGCUUUGACGGGUAGCCGGCCUGAGAGGGUGACCGGCCACAUUGGGACUGAGAUACGGCCCAGACUCCUACGGUAGGCAGCAGUGGGGAAUAUUGCACAAUGGGCGGAAGCCUGAUGCAGCAACGCCGCGUGCGGGAUGACGGCCUUCGGGUUGUAAACCGCUUUCGCCUGUGACGAAGCGUGAGUGGCGGUAAUGGGUAAAGAAGCACCGGCUAACUACGUG